rnacentral:tRNA from 5 species
GGCGAAUUAGCUCAGCGGUUAGAGCAGCGGAAUCAUAAUCCGUUGGUCCGGGGUUCAAAUCCCUGAUUCGCCACCA